rnacentral:misc_RNA from 1 species
AAGAGUGAUUUGGGGCGCCCUGUGCUUGUUGCAGGCGCGCACCGGUUACCCGUCCUAAUGUCAUGAGCACGGACCCGCAUUCUGGGGUUCGACCUCAUUGGUCGAACUUUUAGAGUGUGGGGACGAAGAGGAUAUUUCCGUCGAGGCGGCGCGUCCGAAGCUGGAGCCGGGCACAUAAAGGCUGGGCUCCAGGGGAGGCGCGCCCGCGGCGGGCGUACAAUGCCUUUUCUACUCUUAGGAGAACUAUGAAGUCUGAUAAUGCGAAGAAAUUCGAAAUGAAGCA